AGCUCCAAUAGCGUAUAUUAAAGUUGUUGCGGUUAAAAAGCUCGUAGUUGGAUUUCUGCCGAGGACGACUGGUCCGCCCUCUGGGUGAGCAUCUAGUUCGGCCUGGGCAUCUUCUUGGAGAACGUAGCUGCACUUGACUGUGUGGUGCGGUAUCCAGGACUUUUACCUUGAGGAAAUGAGUGUGUUUCAAGCAGGCGCAAGCCUUGAAUAUGAUAGCAUGGAAUAACAGCAUGAGACCUUCUUUCAAAGCUGUUGGUUCUUUGGAAUUAGGGAAUGGAAACAUGGAUAGUUGGGGGUAUUCGUAUUUAACUGUCAGAGGUGAAAUUCUUGGAUUUUUUAAAGACAAACAAUUGCGAAGGCAUUUACCCAGGAUGUUCUCA
rnacentral:rRNA from 1 species